UUCUAGCCCCGGUUGAAAUGGAAAUCCUUUUUUGGGGCGAUUCGCCAGCGGCGGAAAAGCGCCAAAAAAGAUUAUAAUGGAAAACGGGAGCCCUU
rnacentral:sRNA from 1 species